UACGUAGGGUGCGAGCGUUGUCCGGAAUUAUUGGGCGUAAAGAGCUCGUAGGCGGUUUGUCGCGUCGACUGUGAAAACCCGAGGCUUAACCUCGGGCCUGCAGUCGAUACGGGCAGACUAGAGUUCGGUAGGGGAGACUGGAAUUCCUGGUGUAGCGGUGAAAUGCGUAGAGAUCCGGAGGAACACCAGAGGCGAAGGCGGCCCACUGGGCUGCACCUGACGCUGAACCGCGAAAGCCAGGGGAGCGAACGGG
rnacentral:rRNA from 1 species